rnacentral:lncRNA from 1 species
AACGGAGCAACCCAGGAGCCCCAGAUCCUCCUUUUAUAUCCCAGAUUUUCCCCUUUCUUGGUUCACUUGGUUGUCUUGGUGGAGCACACAUUCAGUAGCCUCUUGGAUCCAUGGGAGGUAAGUUUUUACACCUUGAAUCUCUGAAAAUGUCUUUUUUUUUUUAAUGUUUAUUUUUGAGAGAGAGAGAGACACACACACCGAGCAUGAGCAGGGAGGGGCAGAGAGAGAGGGAGACACAGAAUCCGAAGCAGUCUCCAGGCUCCGAGCUGUCAGCACAGAGGCUGAUGCAGGGCUAAAACACAAGAGCUGUGACAUCAUGACCUGAGCCAAAGUCGGACACUUAACCGACUGACCUACCCAGGGGCCCCUGAAAAUGUCAUUUUUUAACUCUAACAAUUUAUUAAUAGUUUAUCUGAUAUGGGAUUCUAGGAUGGAAAUCAUUUCCUUUUAGAACUUUGAAGGCAUUGCUUCUGUGUGCUGUGGCUUCCUUUGCUGCUGUUGAGAAUCUAAAACCAGACUGACUCUUGAUCCUUCAUUUGUGAUUUUUUUCUCUUUGGAAGAUUAUAAAAUCUUAACUUUGUUCCAGGAAUUCUGAAAUUUCGUAAUCAUGUAUCUUGGACUGAGUCUAUUUUCGUCCAUUAUAUUGGAAACUUAGUGGGCCCUUUCCUCUGCCUCUUCCUGCUAGAAGUAAAUUACUUUCAAUUUUGGGAUAUCUUGAAUUUUCUCCUCCACUUUUUAUGUUCCUUCUUUUUGGAACUCCUAUUAUUUGGUUGCUGAACUUUGAGUUAUUCUCUAAUUAAAAAAAAAAAAAAAUCUUUUUCUGGGGCACCUGACUGGCUCAGUCAGGGGAGCAUGCAACUCCUGAUCUUGGGGUUGUAAGUUUGAGCCCCACAUUCGGUGUAGAGAUUACUUAAAAAAAUAAAAUCUUUGAGGUGCCUGGGUGGCUCAGUCAGUUAAGUGCCUGACUCUUGAUUUUGGCUCAGGUCAGAAUCUCACAGUUUGUGAGUUCGAGGCCCACAACGGGCUCUGCUCCUGACGGGGAGGAGCCUACUUGGAAUUCUCUCUCUCCCUCUCUCACUGCCCCUCCCCAGCUCUCUCUCUCUCAAAAUAAAUAAAUAAACAUUUAAAAAUUUAAAAAAAUAAAAUCUUUAAACAUAUAUUUUUUUAUUUCCCUUCUUACACCUUUCCCAUGUUUACUCCCUUUUCUGGGAGAUUUCUUCAACAUUAUCUUUCAAUCCUUCCAUUAUAUUUUCAUUUCAUCGAUUAUAUCUCUUCCCCCCCCCCCCGCCCCCAAGGGCUCUUUUUUUGUUCUCUGAAUUUUUAAAAGCAGGAUGAUUAAAGUAUCUCUCUGAGGUUCCAUGGAACCAAGUAGAAUAAUGAUAGAAGACCCUGAAGUGGAGGAUGUAUGGUAACAACCAGAAGGUUCUUGUUCCAUUUUCUGAGUUAGUCAAAUCUGCCUUCUUCAAGGUAAUGGGCAGUCUGUUUCCCAGCGUGGAGCUCGCCAGCCUGCCUGCUUCUACCUGGCUCCUGUUUGCCACCUUGGGAUAGAAUGCUAUUUCGUCAGUGUGUGCAAUGAUUCCACUGGGGACAGAUGAAGGAGCAUAGAACAUUCACCAACAUAGAUCAUGUGGUGGGCUACAAGUCUCAAUAAUUAUAAAAGAAUUGAAAUCACACUGAAUAUAUUCCUCUGUGUGACCACAGUGGAAUUAAAGUAGUAAUAAAUACUGGAAAGAUAUCUGGAAAACCCCCAAAUUUGGGAGGAAAUUAAUCUGCUUCUAAAUAGUCCAAAAGUCAAAGGAGAAAUUGCAACGGAAAUUAUAAAAUAUUUUGAGCUGAAUAAAAAGGAAAAUAUGACAUGUAAAAAUUUGUGAGUUACAGCAAAAGCACUGGGAAAUUUAGACACUUAAAUGCUUAUAUAAUAAAAGAAGAAAGAUGUAAAAUCAAUUAUCUAAGUGACAGAAAAAAAAGAAAAGCAAACUAAAUACAAAAUAAGCAGAAGAAAUAAAGUAAUCAAAAUGAGAAUGAAAAGCAACUAAAUAGAAAAAAAUAGAGAAAAUGAACACAGUCAAAAGUUGGUUCUUUGAAAAGAUUAAUAAGAUCAAUAAACUACUGAUAAAGUUGAUUAAGAAGAAAAGAAAAUCAUGAAGAAUAAAAAAGGUACAUCACUGUCAAUUUUAGAUAAAACAAAACAAAACAAAAAACCUGAGAAGGAAGAUAUUAUGGAUAGUCUUAUGCCAAGAGAACCAAUAACAGAUGAAGUGAUUAAAUACUAUUUAUUGAAAAAGCUAUUUUUUGUUCUGGGCCAGCUUGAAAUAUCAUCUUUAUUGUACACUAAUUUAUAUGUUGGCAUGCAGGUGUGGGUUUGGAUGCUUUUACCAUCUAUAUCACAUUCUACUACUAUAUUUGCUCUAAAAGCUAGUAUUACAGUCAACCAGUGGGAAGUUGUAUCAGCUUUUCUGACCCAGCCUCAGAAGUCACAAGGGGCCAUUUCUGCUGCAUUUGAUUGGUUACAAGCAAAUGAUAAGUCCACUUGGAAUCCAGGAGAGGAUACAUAGACUCCAUCUCUCAGUGGGAGGAGUACCAAAGACUUUGUGGCUAUUAAAAAAAAAAAAAGUACAUGCUGUCUUUAGUGAUAAUGCUUCUAAUGUUUUUGUUAAGUGUAACAAUAUUAUACAAUAUAACAAUAGAAUAAAUAAUAUUUCUACAGGUUUUGGACAAAUAUCCUUUCUAAAUUUGAGGACCUUUCAGAUUAGGUCAUGGAGAAAUAGAAUCAGCAGUUGUCAUUUGUUUUUCUCAUAGACAAGUAGUAUAAUUCGUGGAGAAUAAGUUUAGUGUUGUUUGUUUUUGAAGUAUAACUGACACACAAUGUUAUAUUAGUUUCGGGUACACAACAGUGAUUUGACAAUACUGUACAUGACUCAUUGUUCACUGUAAUUAGUAUAGUCCCCAUCUGUCACCAUACAACAUUAUUACCAUAUUAUUGAUUGUAUUCUCUAUGCUGUACUUUUCGUCUCAAUGACCUAAUUUAUUUUACAACUGGAAGUUUGUACCUCUUCAUCCUCUUUAUUUUACCCACCACUUCAUCCAUCUCCACUCUGGCAACUACCUACCAGUUUGUCCUCUGUAUUUAAGAGUCUGUUUUUUGUUUGUUCAUUUGUUUUUGUUUUUUAAGAUUCUACAUAUGAGUGAAAUCACAUGGUAUUUGUCUUUCUCUGUCUGACGUAUUUCACUUAGCCAAAUAUUCUCUAGAUCCAUCCAGGCUGUCUUAAACGGCAAGAUCUCAUUUUCUUUUAUGGCUGAGUAGUAUUCAUGAAGAAUUGUAUUUAAGGGUAAAUUUAUAUUGCCAGAUUUGUGAAAUCUGGCUACACAGAUGAAAUUUACUACACAAUACAAACUACUAUUUAGAUUCUAAACUUUGGGCAUUAAAUCUUCGGAAUAUUUUACGACGUAAGUGGGACAGUAUUCUUUAUGAAUUGUAAUUUGACUGAUAGUACUUGGCAAUAUCCAGCACAUACCUCAAAGAGAUUCAGAGAAAAAGAAUGUUUUUUUUAAAUGUGAAAAUUUUCUUAUGUAAACUAUACAUUCAUUUUUCACGCACAGGAGCAUGAAUAGGGAACAUAGAUAAUGGUGGACUAAAUAACACAUUUAAUUUCUCUGAAGCUUCAAAUCCCACUAUAGAAUCCUGCUGAGCUAGAUUAAAUUAGACCACACAGUGAGCUCUUUGAGCAAAGUUAAGUGGCCUCGUUCCUAAGCCCACAUUUAUCACUUCAGUUACAAGGAAGCGGUGAUCCGGAGCAUUUAGACCGAAGAGGAAAAUGGACAAGAACCAGAAUAUAUAUAUAUGCCCCAAUGUCUAAGCUGAUUUAGACCAUUUGCGGGAGAACUUUCUAGAAUAUGGAGUGGUACAGCCUCCCCUGGGUCAGUUUUACCUAGCUGCACAGGUAGUGAUAAGGGGAUUAGUGGCUACUCUAGAGGGAAGGCAGAGAACCCCUUCAAAGAAUGGGUAUUUACACAAUCUAGGAUUAUUUGUAUACUUUUGUCCUCUAAAAAGUACAGCCCACAUGGUGUUCUUGAGCUUGGUAUAGACCCAUGCUUGGGAAAGAUGUGGAGGCUGGGGAAAGUGAGGAGGUGAGGAGAAACCUGGAGUGUAAAGGAGCUUGGAUUUCCAUUGGCAUCUCUUUUUUUCCCCAGAGAGAUACUGGCACAGUCACAGGAUUAAGUUAACGUUCCCAUCUCAGUUAACCCAUUAGGUGGGAAUAAUACAUUUACACACCAAUGUGUGAGCUUAUCCUCGCAAACCUUCCAUCCAAAAAAGGUGGGGGGUGGGGGAAAGAAAGAGAAAAGGAUACUAAGGGUUUUCUAAUGUACUCUCAAACGUUAAAAAAAACUUUUCUUCCUUUUAAUUGCUUUUCCCAGUUAUAUGUGAAAUGGGUAUUUCAGUUUGCAGUGGUAGGAAAAGAAUAAUGGAACCAAAGAAAAGGAGAGACAUUUUAAAACUGCAUCAGCAUAUGGCCUGUCCCCAAUCAUUUGUAACAAGUGUUAGAAGAAGCAGAAAUACCAGAUUUCCAUUUAGCCACCUGCUGGAUCUAUUGCCUUAAAAAAAAACUUUUUUUUAAUGUUUAUUUAUUUUUGAGACAAUGCGAGAGACAGAGCAUAAGUAGGGGAGGGGCAGAGAGAGAGGGAGACACAGAAUCCCAAGCAGGCUCCAGGCUCUGAGCUGUCAGCACAGAGCCUGAUGUGGGCCCGAACUCACGAACUGUGAGAUCGUGACCUGAGCCAAAGUUGGCCGCUUAACCAACUGAGCCACUCAGGCACCCUGGACCUAUUGCCUUUUAAACAAUUUUAGAGAUUAUUCCUGUUUUGCCAAAUGCAGGAAGAGGGCUGGGAAAUAUCUGCCUGGCAUGUUAAGCUUACGUAUCGUUAAAACUCUAGGAAAUGUUGAACCUUAUAUAAAUUCUGACUCUCCUUCAUAUGGCUGUUAUAUCCAUAUUUGAACAGGCAUUAUAUAUGGCAUUGGCACGAUUGGGAAAUCUGCCUUCUAAUAUGCCUGAGAUGGCUGGCUCACUGAUUAACUUCUGAGUGCACUGAGCUAAACCCCACUAAUUGCUGAGUUUGUUUCCUCGUUUGUGAAGCACUGAAGUGACCCUCUUGUGAAUGUGGCUGGGCCACAUUUUAAAAGUUGGCCCUCCCUGUAGCAGGUUUGGAAAUACUGCAAUAAUUUUAGAAUUGGAUGAAGAAAUGUAUCUUGAAAUAAAAAAAUCCUAUAUAAUUUGAGGGAGGUAUGAAUUUCCUAUCAGGCAGGAUCAAAUCUAGGUUGGUGAGUAAAUAAACUAGAAGCAAACAAAGUGAAAGGGAAGAAGACAUUUAACAGACUACAGGUUUGGGCCCAUGCCACACGGUGGCAGGCUUACUCUGUGUUGUGCUCCCUCUUCAGGGCCAAAAACAUCAAAGGUGGAGAGAGGAGGGAGUAGAGACAAACUUCUGGGAAACAAAUCUUAACGCUUGAAUUUAACUACCUUAAACCACGCACUUCAGGAAGUUAAUUUUAUAAAGUAUGACAUGUUAUUAGUUUGUCAAGACUAUAUGUUCAUAUUAAAAUGUUUUAGGAGCACGUGGGUGGCUCAGUCGGUUGAAUGUCCAGCUUCGGCUCAUUCGGCUCAGGUCAUGAUCUCACGGUUUUUAGGUUGAAACCCCGCAUGAGGCUUGGCUUGCUGCUGUCAGGGCAGAGCACCCUUGGGAUCUUCUGUCCUCCUUCUCUCUGCCCCUCUCCCACUUGCAUGUGUGUUCUCUCUCUCGCUCUCUCUCAAAAAUAAAUAAACAUAGGGGCGCCUGGGUGGCGCAGUCGGUUAAGCGUCCGACUUCAGCCAGGUCACGAUCUCGCGGUCCGUGAGUUCGAGCCCCGCGUCAGGCUCUGGGCUGAUGGCUCGGAGCCUGGAGCCUGUUUCCGAUUCUGUGUCUCCCUCUCUCUCUGCCCCUCCCCCGUUCAUGCUCUGUCUCUCUCUGUCCCAAAAAUAAAUAAACGUUGAAAAAAAAAUUUUUUUUUAAAUAAAUAAACAUUAAAAAAAAAAUGUUUUUGGGGCACCUGGAUGGCUCAGUCGGUUAAGCGUCCGACUUCGGCUCAGGUCAUGAUCUCACACCCUGCAUCAGGCUCUGUGCUGACAGCUCGGAGCCUGGAGCCUGCUUCGGAUUCUGUGUCUCCCUCUCUCUCUGCCCCUCCCCUGCUCAUGCUCUGUCUCUGUCUCAAAAAUAAAUACAUUUUUUUUAAUUAAAAAAAAAAUGUUCUUUACAGUGGAUGUACCUGAGCAGCAAUGAUCUGACCUCCCAUAGGACAUUUUCCCUCUAGGUCUCAAUUUUGUCAUCACUACAAUGAUGGCUUAGGAUUAAAGUUCUAAAAUUGUCAUACCUCUCUUAUAACUAGAAGAAAGAUAUUCUUUUUCAGUAACAAGCAUUUCAGUCAUAUUGCAGUGAAGUUGAUAAGGAAUAUGGUUUUUUUUAUUUAGAUUGCCUAGGUUUGAGUUUGAUUCUGCCAUUUUUUAACUGUGAGGUAUUAGGUAAGCUACUUAACCAAUAAAAAGUUUCAGUUUCCUCAUCUGUAAAGUGUUACAAAUUACAGUACAUAUCUCAUGGGGUUGUUAGGAUUAAAUGGAAAAAGAAUGUAUGUGUGGCAGAGACUGGAACACUGUUCACCAAACCAUUUCCUUUUCUUCCAGAGCAAACAGCUAAACCACAUUUCCCCUCUUCACUUGGAGUUAUCUGUGGCCAUUUGACUGAAUUUUAGCCAAUGAAUGAAAUGUGAGAAGAUAUUCAUAAACCUAUUUGUAGGCUCAGCUCACAAAAAUCUCCCAUUGUGAUCUUCCUUAUUCUUUCCCCUUCUGCAGGUUUCUCAUGGAAGCCAUGUGUUAAAGAUAGUGGGACCACAAAACAGAAGGAAACUUGGUCCCUGAAUCAUGUCUUGGAGGACAGCUUUGUGCCUGUUAAGAACUGUCCUUCUGGAUUUUCUGUGAGUGAGAAAUAAACUUCUAUUUUGUUAAGCCACUGAGAUUCUGGGGCUUAUCUGUUAUGGCAGCUAGCAUUAACUAAAAUAGCAUGUAGGGCACUUAACACGAUACCUACUUAAUAAAUGUUAGGUGUUAUCAAUAUCAUGACUCUAAAUAAAAACCAAAAGCCUAAAAUUCUGAGCUUCAAACACAGCACUGAUAUGGAGAUUCCUUCUGCAGUAUACAAAAUCUGGCUUAAAAAACAAACCAAACAAACAAACAAACAAACUAGAGAAGGUCUAGGAAACAAAGUUGUGUAUAGAGAUAGUAAAAAUCUAAGCUAUUCGUGUAUGUCAUAUGCAGAAAGUCAUUACCAAUAUUUUGUAUUUAUAUUUGCUACUUUUUUUGAAAAACUUAACAGAAUAUAAAGGAAAGAAACCAAAUUAAAAGUUCAAGUUAGUACCAUCAUUGAAAUAAUAUUUAAAAUUUUUCUUCCUUGUGAUAACAUUAGUGUUGUGAUUCAAUGAUUUCUCUCAGUAUUUCACGUUAUGCUCACCCUUUUUCUCUUAAAAAAUGUCUUCUUUCUUGACUCCAACACUUUUUGAUAUUUUAGUUCUUUUAUUUAUUUUUUUAAGAUUUUAUUUUUUUAUUAUUUUUUUAAAUCUUUAUUUACUUUUGAGAGAGAGAGAGACAGAGUGCAAGCGGGGGAGGAACAGAGAGAGAGGCAGACACAGAAUCUGAAGCAGGCUCCAGGCUCUGAGCUGUCAGCACAGAGCCCUAUGUGGGGCUCAAACUCAUGAACCGUGAGAUCAUGACUUGAGCAAAAGUCGGACGCUUAACCGACUGAGCCACCCAGGCGCCCCUAAGAUUUUAUUUUUAAGUCAUCUCUACACCCAACCUGGGGCUCAAACUCACAACCCUGAGAUCAAGUCACAUGCUAUACCAACUGGGUCAGACAGGCAUUCCUUUAGUGCUUUUAUUAAUGCCUCUUCUCAGUUUUCUCUAAUGAGAUUCUUUUUUUUCUUUUUAAUGUUUAUUUAUUUUUGACAGAGAGAGAAAGAGACAUAGAAUGAGUGGGGGAGGGGCAGAGAGAGAGGGAAACACAGAAUCUGAAGCAGCCUCCAGGCUCUGAGCUGUCAGCACAGAGCCCGACGCUGGGCUUGAACUCACGGACUGUGAGAUCAUGACCUGAGCUGAAGUCGGACGUUUAACCAACUGAGCCACCCAGGCGCCCCUGAGAUUCUACCUCUCUUAAAGCCAAGAUCAAAUUUCAUGUAUUCAGUCAAAGCCUUCCAGGAUAUCCUGGUUGGAAGGGCUCCUACCUGCACUGAAUUGUAACAUUUACACAAUCCAAGGCUCUUCCCAUUUGCUGUCUUCUGUGCUAGAGUUUAUUUUCAGUUGGGUUUGUAUAGCUUGUUCCUCCCUAAUCAGAUUGCAAGCUAUUUGAUGACAAGGACUGUGCUUUUUUGAUUUUACAUUGUCCUCAGAAAAUAGUAGAGUCUGUGAAAACAGUUACUGAUACUUGACUCACUGGUUUGAAAGCCCCAAGUUUAUAAGAUUUCCCCUAAUGUUUUAACAUCUCUCUUUCAUGGAGUUUCAUAAGAAUAAAGAACAACAGCUCUCAUACAGUUUUCUUCAUAGAUAAAUAAAAAUAGAGGCAGAGGUAGUAUUUUAUGGUCAGUGGUUUGGGUUAGUAGAAAUUUACAAAGAAUAAAUUAGUGCCUCAUUUUCUAUAUUGAAAUGAGGACAAUUUUAUAUGUAUUACCAGUUAAGCUUAUUUUGCUUUUUUCUGUCCUUCCUCCUAACUAUUCACUUAAAAACUUUUUUAAUGUUUAUUUUUGAGAGAGAGAGAGAGAGAGACAGACAGACAGAGUGUGAGCAGGGGCGGGGGGCAGAGAGAGAGGGAGACACAGAAUCUGAAACAGGCUCCAGGCUCUGAGCUGUCAGCACACAACCCGAAGUGGGGCUCGAACUCACAGACUGCGAGAUCAUGACCUGAGCUGAAGUUGGACACUUAACCGACUGAGCCAACCAGGCGCCCCUAACUAUUCACUUUUUAAAUUUCUUUCUGUUUUGCACAUUCGCUUAAGAUGUUUACCUUAAAAAUAUUAAAAGUUCUAGCUUAAAAGUGUUUCACAGUGUAUAUUCAACAUCAUAAGGACUGUAUAAUGUUUUAACUCUGAAUCUUGCCUCUCAUUUUCAAUUUGAUCGCUAGUUUCAUCCUGUUUUAACUUCUAAAAGUUGGCUAUUUUCUAUAGUCAGUGUUUCCUUGGAGUUACCAAUGUUCUAUUAAUAUCUUUGCUCAUCAUUGAUUCUUUGAAUGCUCCUUUAACUGGAUGGAGAAUUUUAGAUUAACAGAUAUUUCCCUCCACCAUUUUGAGGAUACUGUUCCAUUGUCCUCCAGCAUCUACUGCUUGCGAUAAGAAACCAGCUUUGUUUAUAUAUCAUUCUUUGUAGGUAGUGCAACUUUCAGGCUCAUCCCAAACAUUCAUAGAAACUAGGGAAAGUUACGAAUGAAGGCCCCAUACAAUAUGUCUAAAACAUUUUUAAGUUAAAAACUUAUUAAAUGAAGCUAACAACUUGUUAAAUGAAAUAAAUUCUAUCCUCCUAUCUUGAUAAACAUACCUUUUUAAGGAACUGGAUGACCAAGCCUUGAAUUUAGGACUCUUAGAAUCCUUCAGAGAGUACAGAGAGAUCACAGUCUUGGUCCCACCUCACAGCUCACCCUCCAUGUUUUCCAGUCUUGGCUUCAUCCCACACUGCAAGGGGCUUCACACACUUACUUGUGGACACUCCAAUUCCAAGCCCUACAGCCACUUCCCAAACACCCCAUGGCCCUAAGUGUAUGCAGUCUGUUUUUGGGGGUUGGACAUAGGGAAGAGGCCCAUGAAGGUCCUGAAAGUGGGUUGGAGCUGUAUGGGCAGGAAAUGCUAGGGUCUUGUGCCCCUGGAACAUGGUUUGGAGGGAAAGGGCAAACUUUGGGUUAUGUUUUCUUGACAUUGCAAUAACCUCCUUCAUGGUUUCCUCCCAUCCAACCUGUUCUCUACACUGUAUCAGAGAGAUUUUUUUUUUUAAAUGUAAACCACAGCAUUAUAUUAUCUCCUAAAAAAAUCCUUUAAAGGCUUCCUAUUGCAUUUGAAAUAAAAUCCUUUAAAAGGCUGCAAAGCUCUAAGUGGCACUUCAAUGUGCCAAGCUCUUUGGGAAGAGCUUUCAUCCAAGAUGUUUCUCUUUCUGAAACGCAUUUUCCUACCCACUCCUCGCAUGGCUGACUUCAGUCUAUUGUAUAGCUCCUGGCUUAAAUGCCACCUCCUCUCCAGGUACAGCUUCCCUGUUAUUUGCUAUCACUGCAUCUUGUUUAUUUCCUUCAGAGUACAAAUAACAAAUGUAGUCACCUAUUUGUCUCUCCACACUGUCAUCUACACAAGGGAGAGUGUCACAUAUGAGUCAAUUCUGAGAUGGAAAUUAGCACACGGGAAGUUAUUAGGGAGUACUCUACUCAACCCCUGUUGAGCAAAAGAAAGUAGGAUGGGCCAUCAAUCAGGCAGUGGAUGCUGGCUUCCCAGAAAGGGGCCUGACUUUGGGCAAAGCAAUUCUCUUUAGCUGAAGCCCUUCCUUAAGAGGGCUGACAGCUUUGGUCUGGAUUGGGCGGUAUAGCACCCAAAUGGUCCAUGUCUUGUGCAGAUCUGCUUUCCUUACAUGAGUUCUGGAAGUAGCUUCUUCAGAGCUCUGGCAGGUUUGUUCCCUGGGGGAAACUUGUAAAAGGAGGGUUAGUAAGGGGAACCACACGCUUUGCUGUCGCAGCUGGUAUUAGGCUGCAACCAAUACUCACCCUUUCUCUCUUCUGUGGUUCAUAGUGGAUGCUCUUCACUCUUGAUUAGCACCUCUGAAGGCCUAGGUGACUCACCUAGUGGAGUGACAGAUUCUUAAAACUGAUGAGUUCCAGUUAACUGUUUAUCAUGUCCUCCUCAGGCUGCACCUGCUACAUCUGUCCGUUUGCCAUCAAAAUUGCACAAGUACUAAAAGAUGUCCUAGUUGAUUACCUGGAUGCCAAACAUAUGCCUACCCGAUUCCACUGUGUAAUAGUAGUUCUACUGCCUCUUGAUAAUGAGAGUCAAUUACCCCCAUGAAGAUCUUUUUCUUGCCUGCUGGUCCUUGCCAUGAAGGGCUCAGAGUACUGGGUGGUGGUAUAGUUUAAAAUUCAUUGAAGACUCUUGUUGUGUUCCCUGGUAGAAAUGUUUUGCCUUUGGGAACUAAGACCUUUAAAACUGUGGUUAUAUUUGUGAGGAUGAAAAGCACAAAUUCCCCAAGUGGGUCACUGGGAUUGAUGGUACACAGGAACACUCCUGCUUCCAUACCUUUGACUCCACUCCCAGUUAUUCUCCUAUGAGGGAUACAGCAUCAAAUAAUGGUGAUUGAUUUAGAGCAUGACUGCACCCUAGAAGGUAGCACUUUAUCCUCACAGGGUGUCAUCUCCAAGCUGGUACUUCAGCCAAGAUUUCUGCCAUGUGAUAGGUCCAAUGGAUUCCAUGGUCAUAUGCCCACUGCUACAUUUCCUUUGCUAUGUAGUGGGUUCCUUGGUCAGAUGCAAUGAUAUAUGGGAUGCCAUAAUGGUGGAUCGAAUAGAGUAUAAUCCCUUGGAUAGUCACGUUGGCUGAGACUCAACAGACAGGUAAGGCAAACCCAUAGAAUAUGUGUCUAUUCAUGUUAAAAUGAAUGACUACCUCAUCCAGGGUGGAAGGAGUCCAACAGGGUCGCCUUUUCACCAAGUGGCUGUUUGCUAUCUUCAAGAGAUAGUGCAGUAUUGAGUCUCAGCAAUAGUUCCUGUUACUGGCAGGUUGAUCAUUUGGCUACGGGAUUAACCUUGGUGAGUGGAAGAUCCUACUGGUGGGCCCAGUUACAGCCUUCCUCCUUAUUACCGUGUUUUCUCUAUUCGUGAAUCUAUUGUGCCAGUACUGGGGUGGCUAAUAGAAAAGCUGGCUGGUGCCAACUGGUUAAGUCAUUCUACUUGGGUGUUUAAUGCCUCUUCAAUGGUAGAUGCUCUCAGAACCUGUGGAGGAAAGGGACAGAAGCAAGACUGGGCAGAAAGAGAAAAUGGGCUUCAGUAAGUACAUCACAACCAGGCCCCAGCCAACCCUGUGGGAAGUUCGGAAGCUGGGAUGAUUCUUUAGAAUUUUCCCUUGUUGAGGUGAGAGAGUCUGGUCUUCACAACCCCUCAUUGACCAGUCAUUUGUUGCAGGCUGCUCCUAAAAGGGGCAUGACCUUGGGUAAGGUAGCAUUUUUUAGUUAAGAAAAUGACAAAAGAGGUUCAUCAGUGCACAGCCUUCCCAGAAGCUGGGAGAGUAAGUCCUUCAGUCUUAAAGGAGACAUAGACUGGCACAGCAUAGACUCCACGAAAGAGACCAUUACCAUUACCUUUUUUUUUUUUAAAGUAUGCUCCACUCCCAGCAUGCAGCUCAGUGCAAGGCUUGAACUCAUGACCCUGAGAUCAAGACCUGAGUUGAGACAAAGAGUCAGAUGCUGAACUGACUGAGCCAUCCAGGCACCCCGAGACUAUUAUUAUUUUUUUCACCGGUAUAUAUUCAAGCUUAAUAUAGUGUUUAGCACACAGUGGAAAUUCAAAAGAUCUUUUUGAAUAAAUAAAUUACUGAAAUGUCCUUCUUUCUUAAUUUGGAGUAAAAAGGUCACAUCUCACCCCACCCUCCAACAUUUUACUAUGAGAAUUUCAAAAUUUAAAGGAGAGUGCAAAAGGGACAUCUGUGUGGCUCAGUUGGUUGAGCAUACAACUCUUGAUUUUGACUCAGGUCAUGAUCUCAGGGUUGUGGGAUCAAGCCCUGUGAGGGGCAUCGGGCAUGCAUAGCAUGGAACCUGCUUAAGAUUCUCUCUCUCUCCCUCUGCCCCUCCCCUGCCAUGCUCUCCCCUCUUUCUCUCUAAAAUAAAUAAAAAUAAAGAAAUAAGGGGCGCCUGGGUGGCGCAGUCGGUUAAGCGUCCGACUUCAGCCAGGUCACGAUCUCGCGGUCCGUGAGUUCGAGCCCCGCGUCAGGCUCUGGGCUGAUGGCUCAGAGCCUGGAGCCUGUUUCCGAUUCUGUGUCUCCCUCUCUCUCUGCCCCUCCUCCGUUCAUGCUCUGUCUCUCUCUGUCCCAAAAAUAAAUAAACGUUGAAAAAAAAAUUAAAAAAAAAAAAAGAAAAUAGAGUACAAAAAACAUUUUCCAGAUAUAACAUUUUGUCAUAUUUGCUCUCUUUUUUCAUGGAUAAGUACAUGUAUAGUAUUUUUUGUUUGUUUUUGUUUUGUUUUGUUUUUGCUAAACCUCAUAACACUCUGUCCUUAAAUACUCUGGUAUGUAUCUCCUAACAAUAAGGACAUUCUCAAUACUACUAUGAUCAUAUCUGAAAAAAUAACAUAAAAUUUUUUUAAAUCACUUAGUAUCUAAUAUUGAGCCAUAUUAAAUUUCUAUGAUUCUCCACCAAAUAUCUUCUAUAGCUUUAAAAAAAAUUUUCAACUAUGAUUCCACCCAAGGUUCAUGCAUUACAUUUGAAUGUCAUUUUUCUUUACUAUCUUUUAAACUGGGAACAGUCUCUCUCCCCUUUUCCCCCCAGAGACUUAACUUUUUGAAGAGACCAAGGCUAGGAGUGUUCUUGUCCCCCAUUCUGGAUUUGUCUCUUUCCUCAUAGUGUCAUUUUGUUUGUUCCAGGUAACAUCACCUUCAAUAUUCUAAACCAAUGAGAAUAUUCUUAUGAUCCUCCUCAGCACCCUGGUGUCAUUCCAAGAAGUCACCGAGAUACAUUCUAAUAUCCAGAGGACCAAUCCUGCUUCACAGUCAAUCGCAGCCAAAAUUCUAGCUCCCUAGAAGAUGAAAGACCUCAUAAUUCCUACCAGAAGCUGGUGGCUUCCUAAACAAACCAUGUUGCUCCUGGUGGUGUUGCCAUUGCUAACAAUAAAAGUGUAUUUUAUGCAGAAGGUGAUCUUACGGAGGAGUGACAUAGACACUCACGAGAGGUGCUGUGCUUGGAAGGGUCUCAUGCUGGUCUAGGGAGCAGAGUGGGUUUAUCUCUUUGUGCCAUCUGUUCAGCGUAGCAUCUGCCUGAAUGCAGGGGAAGAAAUCAAUCAGCAGAGUACUUUACUACUUUACUU